rnacentral:rRNA from 1 species
GAUGAACGCUGGCGGCGUGCCUAAUACAUGCAAGUCGAGCGAACGGACGCGAAGCUUGCUUCUCUGAUGUUAGCGGCGGACGGGUGAGUAACACGUGGAUAACCUACCUAUAAGACUGGUAUAACUUCGGGACACCGGAGCUAAUCCCGGAUGAUCUUUUGAACCGCAUGGUUCAAAAGUGAAAGACGGUCUUGCUGUCACUUAUCGAUGGAUCCGCGCUGCAUUAGCUAGUUGGUAAGGUAACGGCUUACCAAGGCAACGAUGCCUAGCCGACCUGAGAGGGUGAUCGGCCACACUGGAACUGAGACACGGUCCAUACUCCUACGGGAGGCAGCAGUAGGGAAUCUUCCGCAAUGGGCGAAAGCCUGACGGAGCAACGCCGCGUGAGUGAUGACGGUCUUCGGAUCGGAAAACUCUGUUAUUAGGGAAGAACAUAUGUGUAAGGAACUGUGCACAUCUUGACGGUACCUAAUCAGAAAGCCACGGCUAACUACGUG